rnacentral:rRNA from 1 species
UACGGAGGGGGCGAGCGUUAUUCGGAAUUAUUGGGCGUAAAGGGCGCGUAGGCGGCCCCUUAAGUCAAAGGUGAAAUCCCUCGGCUCAACUGAGGAACUGCCUUUGAAACUGAUGGGCUUGAGGCCGGGAGGGGGUAGCGGAAUUCCCAGUGUAGCGAUGAAAUGCGUAGAUAUUGGGAGGAACACCAGUGGCGAAGGCGGCUACCUGGACCGGUUCUGACGCUGAUGCGCGAAAGCGUGGGUAGCAAACAGG